rnacentral:rRNA from 1 species
CGGGAGGGCGCAGCUAACACAUGCAGUCGAGCGGAUGAGAGGAGCUUGCUCUUCGAUUCAGCGGCGGACGGGUGAGUAAUGCCUAGGAAUCUGCCUAGUAGUGGGGGACAACGUUUCGAAAGGAACGCUAAUACCGCAUACGUCCUACGGGAGAAAGUGGGGGAUCUUCGGACCUCACGCUAUUAGAUGAGCCUAGGUCGGAUUAGCUAGUUGGUAGGGUAAAGGCCUACCAAGGCGACGAUCCGUAACUGGUCUGAGAGGAUGAUCAGUCACACUGGAACUGAGACACGGUCCAGACUCCUACGGGAGGCAGCAGUGGGGAAUAUUGGACAAUGGGCGAAAGCCUGAUCCAGCCAUGCCGCGUGUGUGAAGAAGGCCUUCGGGUCGUAAAGCACUUUAAGUUGGGAGGAAGGGCUCAUAGCGAAUACCUGUGAGUUUUGACGUUACCAACAGAAUAAGCACCGGCUAACUUCGUGCCAGCAGCCGCGGUAAUACGAAGGGUGCAAGCGUUAAUCGGAAUUACUGGGCGUAAAGCGCGCGUAGGUGGCUUGAUAAGUUGGAUGUGAAAUCCCCGGGCUCAACCUGGGAACUGCAUCCAAAACUGUCUGGCUAGAGUGCGGUAGAGGGUAGUGGAAUUUCCAGUGUAGCGGUGAAAUGCGUAGAUAUUGGAAGGAACACCAGUGGCGAAGGCGACUACCUG